UACGAAGGGGGCUAGCGUUGCUCGGAAUCACUGGGCGUAAAGCGCACGUAGGCGGAUUGUUAAGUCAGGGGUGAAAUCCUGGAGCUCAACUCCAGAACUGCCUUUGAUACUGGCGAUCUUGAGUCCGGGAGAGGUGAGUGGAACUGCGAGUGUAGCGGUGAAAUGCGUAGAUAUCUGGAGGAACACCGGUGGCGAAGGCGGCAUCCUGGACCGGCAUUGACGCUGAGGCGCGAAAGCCAGGGGAGCAAGCGGG
rnacentral:rRNA from 1 species